CGGCUAACUACGUGCCAGCAGCCGCGGUAAUACGUAGGGUGCAAGCGUUAACCGGAAUUAUUGGGCGUAAAGAGCUCGUAGGCGGUUUGUCGCGUCUGCUGUGAAAUCCCGAGGCUCAACUUCGGGCUUGCAGUGGGUACGGGCAGACUAGAGUGCGGUAGGGGAGAUUGGAAUUCCUGGUGUAGCGGUGGAAUGCGCAGAUAUCAGGAGGAACACCGAUGGCGAAGGCAGAUCUCUGGGCCGCUACUGACGCUGAGGAGCGAAAGCAUGGGGAGCGAACAGGAUUAGAUACCCUGGUAGUCCAUGCCGUAAACGUUGGGAACUAGAUGUAGGGCCUGUUCCACGGGUUCUGUGUCGUAGCUAACGCAUUAAGUUCCCCGCCUGGGGAGUACGGCCGCAAGGCUAAAACUCAAAGGAAUUGACGGGGGCCCGCACAAGCGGCGGAGCAUGCGGAUUAAUUCGAUGCAACGCGAAGAACCUUACCAAGGCUUGACAUAUAGCAGAACACCGCAGAGAUGCGGGACUCUUUGGACACUGUUAUACAGGUGGUGCAUGGUUGUCGUCAGCUCGUGUCGUGAGAUGUUCGGUUAAGUCCGGCAACGAGCGCAACCCUCGUCCUAUGUUGCCAGCACGUUAUGGUGGGAACUCAUGGGAUACUGCCGUGGUCAACACGGAGGAAGGUGGGGAUGACGUCAAAUCAUCAUGCCCCUUAUGUCUUGGGCUUCACGCAUGCUACAAUGGCCGAUACAAUGGGCUGCGAUACCGCGAGGUGGAGCGAAUCCCAAAAAGUCGGUCUCAGUUCGGAUUGGGGUCUGCAACUCGACCCCAUGAAGUCGGAGUCGCUAGUAAUCGCAGAUCAGCAACGCUGCGGUGAAUACGUUCCCGGGCCUUGUACACACCGCCCGUCAAGUCAUGAAAGUCGGUAACACCCGAAGCCGGUGGCCUAACCCUUGUGGAGGGAGCUGUCGAAGGUGGGACUGGUGAUUAGGACUAAGUCGUAACAAGGUAGCCGUAAGCUUGGAAUUCG
rnacentral:rRNA from 1 species